AGCUGAGUUUGAUCCUGGCUCAGAUUGAACGCUGGCGGUAUGCCUUACACAUGCAAGUCGAACGGUAGAGGAGCAAUCCUCGAGAGUGGCGAACGGGUGAGUAAUACAUCGGAACGUGCCCAGUCGUGGGGGAUAACGUAGCGAAAGCUACGCUAAUACCGCAUACGACCUGAGGGUGAAAGCGGGGGAUCGCAAGACCUCGCGCGAUAGGAGCGGCCGAUAUCGGAUUAGCUUGUUGGUGAGGUAAAGGCUCACCAAGGCGACGAUCCGUAGCUGGUCUGAGAGGACGACCAGCCACACUGGAACUGAGACACGGUCCAGACUCCUACGGGGAGCAGCAGUGGGGAAUUUUGGACAAUGGGGCGAAAGCCUGAUCCCAGCAAUGCCGCGUGAGUGAUGAAGGCCUUAGGGUUGUAAACGCUCUUUUAACCGAGGGAUGAUAAUGACAGUACCUGGAG
rnacentral:rRNA from 1 species